AUGUCAUUUUAAAGAAUGCUUUUUAGGCUGUGAAACUAAGAGCUCUUAAACUCUGUGGCCAAAGAUUUCAGUUCACCAUAGAAUGAUACAGACACUCUACAUCAGUGUCUAUUAUCAAACUUGGGGGUCAAAGC
ensembl:snoRNA Gm55085 predicted gene, 22843